CUUUUAUACAGUGAAACUGCGUACAGCUCAUUAUAUCAGUUAUUAUUUAUUUGAUGGUACCUUACUACAUGGAUACCCGUAGUAAUUCUAGAGCUUAUGCAUGCGUAAAGUCCCGACUUUUUGGAAGGGAUGUAUUUAUUAGAUUAAAAACCAAUGCAGGCAACUGCUCCUUUGGUGAUUCAUAGUAACUUUAACGGAUCGCACGGCUUCACGUCGGCGACAGUUCAUUCAAAUUUCUGCCCUAUCAGCUUUCUACGGUACUGUAGUGGACUACCGUGGCAUUAACGGGUGACGGAUAAUUAAGGUUCGAUUCCGGAGAGGGAGCCUGAUAAACUGCUACCACAUCCAAGGAAGGCAGCAGGCGCGCAAAUUAC
rnacentral:rRNA from 1 species